GAUGAACGCUGGCGGUGUGCCUAAUACAUGCAAGUCGAGCGAACAGACGAGGAGCUUGCUCCUCUGACGUUAGCGGCGGACGGGUGAGUAACACGUGGAUAACCUACCUAUAAGACUGGGAUAACUUCGGGAAACCGGAGCUAAUACCGGAUAAUAUAUUGAACCGCAUGGUUCAAUAGUGAAAGACGGUUUUGCUGUCACUUAUAGAUGGAUCCGCGCCGCAUUAGCUAGUUGGUAAGGUAACGGCUUACCAAGGCAACGAUGCGUAGCCGACCUGAGAGGGUGAUCGGCCACACUGGAACUGAGACACGGUCCAGACUCCUACGGGAGGCAGCAGUAGGGAAUCUUCCGCAAUGGGCGAAAGCCUGACGGAGCAACGCCGCGUGAGUGAUGAAGGCCUUCGGAUCGUAAAACUCUGUUAUUAGGGAAGAACAAAUGUGUAAGUAACUAUGCACGUCUUGACGGUACCUAAUCAGAAAGCCACGGCUAACUACGUG
rnacentral:rRNA from 1 species